UACAGAAGGUCCCGAGCGUUGUUCGGAUUCACUGGGCGUAAAGGGUGCGCAGGUGGCUUGGCAAGUUUGAUGUGAAAGCUCAGGGCUUAACCCUGAAAUGGCAUUGAAUACUGUUGAGCUGGAGGUUUGGAGGGGGGACUGGAAUUCUUGGUGUAGCAGUGAAAUGCGUAGAUAUCAAGAGGAACACCAGUGGCGAAGGCGAGUCCCUGGACAACACCUGACACUGAGGCACGAAAGCUAGGGGAGCAAACAGG
rnacentral:rRNA from 1 species